AGGCACCAGACCUGGGCGUCUGAUCUCGCCUGACCCGUUUGUCUCCCUCCCGGCCGGUGCAGAUGACUACCCCUGAUCCCUGGCUCUGCUGGACUUUCUUUCUCCUCCUGGCCUGCCUUCAGGUCCAGCUGGGGUCAGCUGGCUUUAAUGAAGACAGACCUGUCAGACCCAAGUGGCCAGGCAAUAAAGCCCCCAGUGCGGCUCUCAAGGAGUACUGGAAGGAAAUGAGGCGCUAUUUGGAUUACCAAAAGAAACUAGGAAAGAACAGGCCAAACAGAUCAGUGAUGGAGCACUCCAAGGAGCUGGCCUCAUCUCUCUUCCCCAAUUUAUGGAUUCCAGAAAGACCUCACCCCAGCAAACCCCUGACGUCCAUUCUUUCCUCUGAUAAGAAGUUCAAUCACAGAGGCAAGUGGCCGUCUGAGUUUCAUGAAUGGCACUAGACACGGCCGUCUGCCGCUCUCCCCAUGCCGGCACAACU